CGGGGGGCGCAUGCGCAGCCCAUGGUAGUGAUGGAGGAGAGAAGAUGGCGGAAGCGGAGUUUAAGGACCACAGUACAGCUAUGGAUAGUGAACCAAACCCUGGAACAUCUUCGGUAUCGACAACAACCAGUAGCACUACCACGACCACCAUCACCACUUCCUCCUCUCGAAUGCAGCAGCCACAGAUCUCUGUCUACAGUGGCUCAGACCGACAUGCUGUACAGGUAAUUCAACAGGCAUUGCACCGCCCUCCCAGCUCAGCUGCUCAGUAUCUACAGCAAAUGUAUGCCGCCCAGCAACAGCACUUAAUGCUGCAUACAGCAGCUCUCCAGCAGCAGCACUUAAGCAGCUCCCAACUUCAGAGCCUUGCUGCUGUUCAGGCAAGUUUGUCCAGUGGAAGACCACCUACAUCCCCCACAGGAAGUGUCACACAGCAGUCAAGUAUGUCCCAGACAUCUAUCAACCUCUCUACUUCUCCUACACCUGCACAGUUAAUAAGCCGUUCCCAGGCUUCCAGUUCUACCAGUGGCAGUAUUACCCAACAGACUAUGUUACUAGGGAGUACCUCCCCUACCCUAACGGCAAGCCAAGCUCAAAUGUAUCUCCGAGCUCAAAUGCUGAUUUUCACACCCGCUACCACUGUGGCUGCUGUACAGUCUGACAUUCCUGUUGUCUCGUCGUCAUCGUCAUCUUCCUGUCAGUCUGCAGCUACUCAGGUUCAGAAUUUAACAUUACGCAGCCAGAAGUUGGGUGUAUUAUCUAGCUCACAAAAUGGUCCGCCAAAAAGUACUAGUCAAACUCAGUCAUUGACAAUUUGUCAUAACAAAACAACAGUGACCAGUUCUAAAAUCAGCCAACGAGAUCCUUCUCCAGAAAGUAAUAAGAAAGGAGAAAGUCCAAGUCUGGAAUCACGAAGCACAGCUGUCACCCGGACAUCCAGUAUUCACCAGUUAAUAGCACCAGCUUCAUAUCCUCCAAUUCAGCCUCAUCCUCUAAUAAAACAUCAGCAGAUUCCUCUUCAUUCACCACCUCCCAAAGUUUCCCACCAUCAGCUGAUGCUACAACAGCAGCAACAGCAAAUUCAGCCAAUCACACUUCAAAGUCCAACUCAAGACCCACCGCCAUCUCAACACUGUUUACCACUUCAAAACCACGGCCUGCCUCCAGCUCCCAGUAGUGCCCAGUCACAGCAUUGUUCCCCAAUUCAGAGUCAUCCCCCUCCUUUACCAGUGUCUCCUAGCCAGUCACAGUCAGCACAGCAGUCUGUAGUGGUGUCUCCUCCACCACCUCAUUCACCAAGUCAGUCUCCUACUAUAAUUAUUCAUCCACAAGCACUUAUUCAGCCACACCCACUUGUGUCAUCAGCUCUACAGCCAGGGUCAAACUUGCAGCAGUCCACUGCUAAUCAGGUGCAACCUACAGCACAGCUGAAUCUUCCAUCCCAUCUUCCACUUCCAGCUUCCCCUGUUGUACACAUUGGCCCAGUUCAGCAGUCCGCCUUGGUGUCCCCAGGUCAGCAGAUUGUGUCUCCAGCAUCACACCAGCAAUAUUCAACCCUGCAGUCCUCUCCAAUCCCAAUUGCAACCCCUCCGCAGAUGUCGACAUCUCCUCCAGCUCAGAUUCCACCACUGCCCUUGCAGUCUAUGCAGUCUUUACAAGUGCAGCCUGAAAUUCUGUCCCAGGGCCAGGUUUUGGUGCAGAAUGCUUUGGUGUCAGAAGAGGAGCUUCCAGCUGCAGAAGCUUUGGUCCAGUUGCCAUUUCAGACUCUUCCUCCUCCACAGACUGUUGCGGUAAACCUACAAGUACAACCACCAGCAUCCGUUGAUCCACCAGUGGGAAUGCAUUUGAACCAGUGUCAUCUGCACAAAGUUUUUUCUCUUAAGGUUUAUCAAGUAGAAGAUGUAUGUGAAGAAGAAAUGCCAGAGGAGUCAGAAGAAUGUGUCCGAAUGGAUAGAACUCCACCACCACCCACAUUGUCUCCAGCAGCUAUAACUGUGGGGAGAGGAGAAGAUUUGACUUCUGAGCAUCCUUUGUUAGAGCAAGUAGAAUUACCUGUUGUGGCAUCAGUCAGUGCUUCAGUAAUUAAAUCUCCAUCAGAUCCUUCACAUGUGUCUGUUCCUCCACCUCCGCUCUUACUUCCAGCUGCUACCACAAGGAGUAAUAGUACAUCUAUGCCUAGUAGCAUACCCAGUGUAGAAAACAAACCUCCACAGGCUAUUGUUAAGCCACAGAUCUUGACCCAUGUUAUUGAAGGCUUUGUAAUCCAGGAGGGAUUGGAGCCAUUUCCUGUGAGUCGUUCAUCUCUGCUGAUAGAACAGCCUGUGAAAAAAAGGCCUAUUUUGGAUAAUCAGGUGAUAAAUUCUGUGUGUGUUCAGCCAGAGCUACAGAAUAAUGCAAAGCAUGCAGAUAAUUCAUCUGACACAGAGAUGGAAGACAUGAUUGCUGAAGAGGCAUUAGAAGAAAUGGACAGUGAGUUGCUCAAGUGUGAAUUCUGUGGAAAGAUGGGGUAUGCUAAUGAAUUUCUGCGGUCAAAACGAUUCUGCACUAUGUCGUGUGCCAAAAGGUACAAUGUUAGCUGUUCUAAAAAAUUUGCACUUAGUCGUUGGAAUCGUAAGCCUGAUAAUCAAAGCCUUGGGCAUCGUGGCCGUCGUCCAAGUGGCCCUGAUGGGACAGCGAGAGAACAUAUCCUUCGGCAGCUUCCAAUUACUUAUCCAUCUGCAGAAGAAGACUUGGCUUCUCAUGAAGAUUCUGUGCCAUCUGCUAUGACAACACGCCUGCGCAGGCAGAGUGAGCGGGAAAGAGAGCGUGAGCUUCGGGAUGUGAGAAUGAGGAAAAUGCCUGAGAACAGUGACUUGCUACCAGUUGCACAAACGGAGCCAUCUGUAUGGACAGUUGAUGACGUCUGGGCCUUCAUCCAUUCUUUGCCUGCACAACUGGGUAUUUUCUCAUACCCCCCAAGUCGAUAAAAACUGACUAGUCCUGCUUCUGCUGUGACACCUCAGCCGGUGAAGAGAUUAAAGGUGCUCUCUUCUCUUCAGUCUGAUUUCUCUCGAGAGGGGCUGGCUACUGAAGACAGCUGCACCUUUGCUCAUCAUGAGACCCACACUGCUAUAUAUGUUAAGACAAUAUAUAUUUUUUUAAGCAGCAAACCUUUAUCAUUCACUUUGACCUUAUGAAUAUGGAAAAUAAGGUUUUAAAAAUAUGUGUUCCAUUUUGGUUUUUCGGUGAAUCUGUCAUUUCUCUUGACACAGGCUUUCCAGAAAAAUACAUCCCCUUUGAACUUGUCUACAGACUUAUUAAAAUUAAUCCAGCUAUUUUUGCUAAUUAAUCUUUCUAUGAAGGUGACCACUGUCUCAGAAGCAAACUUACAGCUAAAGUGUUGGGAGUUCCCUGGUGACCUAGACGUUAGGAUUCAUCACUUUCACUGCAGAGGCCCGGGUUCAAUCCCUGGUUGGGAGAAUCAUCCCACAUGCCACGUGGUGCGGCCAAAAUACAAAACAUAAUAAUAAUAAUAAUAAUUAAAAUAAAUUAAUU